GGUCAAGCUACAAAGGGCUGAUGGUGGAUACCUAGGCACACAGAGGCGAAGAAGGACGUGGUUACCGACGAUAUGCCCCGGGGAGUUGGAAGCAGGCAUUGAUCCGGGGGUUUCCGAAUGGGGCAACCCUAAAUACGGCGAGUUGAAUCCAUAGACUCGUGCGAGCGAACGCGGCGAAUUGAAACAUCUUAGUAGCCGUAGGAGAAGAAAACAAA
rnacentral:rRNA from 1 species